rnacentral:tRNA from 1 species
GUCUUGUGGUGUAAUGGGUAGCACUAUGGACUUGAAUUCCAACCAUCUUAGUUCAAACCUAGGGUGGGACA